UACGGAGGGGGCUAGCGUUGUUCGGAAUUACUGGGCGUAAAGCGCACGUAGGCGGCUUUGUAAGUUAGAGGUGAAAGCCCGGGGCUCAACUCCGGAAUUGCCUUUAAGACUGCAUCGCUAGAAUUGUGGAGAGGUAAGUGGAAUUCCGAGUGUAGAGGUGAAAUGCGCAGAUAUCAGGAAGAACACCCGUGGCGAAAGCGGCUCUCUGGAACGGUACUGACGCUGAGACGCGAAAGCGUGGGGAGCGAACAGG
rnacentral:rRNA from 1 species